UCGUCUAGAGGCCUAGGACAUCGCCCUUUCACGGCGGUAACAGGGGUUCGAAUCCCCUUGGGGACGCCA
rnacentral:tRNA from 1 species